rnacentral:rRNA from 1 species
AGGCCGGUGCAAACGUUGCUCGGAAUUAUUGGGCGUAAAGCGCGCGUAGGCGGCUAUCUAAGUCGGAUGUGAAAGCCCCUGGCUUAACCGGGGAAGUGCACCCGAAACUGGGUAGCUAGAGUGCAAAAGAGGGUCGCGGAAUUCCCAGUGUAGAGGUGAAAUUCGUAGAUAUUGGGAGGAACACCGGUGGCGAAGGCGGCGACCUGGGUUGACACUGACGCUGAGGCGCGAAAGCGCGGGGAGCAAACAGGAUUAGAUACCCUGGUAGUCCACGCCGUAAACGAUGGGUGCUAGAUGUUUCUGGUAUUGACCCCGGAGGCGUCGUAGCUAACGCGUUAAGCACCCCGCCUGGGGAGUACGGCCGCAAGGCUA